UACGGGGGGGGCAAGCGUUGUUCGGAAUUACUGGGCGUAAAGGGCUCGUAGGCGGCCGACUAAGUCAGACGUGAAAUCCCUCGGCUUAACCGGGGAACUGCGUCUGAUACUGGACGGCUUGAGUUCGGGAGAGGGAUGCGGAAUUCCAGGUGUAGCGGUGAAAUGCGUAGAUAUCGGGAGGAACACCUGUGGCGAAAGCGGCUCACUGGACCACAACUGACGCUGAGGCGCGAAAGCUAGGGGAGCAAACAGG
rnacentral:rRNA from 1 species